GCUUUCGACAGGUUCAAAACCGAUAAAAUAUUUCAAAUUCCCACCCCCCACCCAACAUGUCUUCAUCCGUUGGUCUCUAGGCAUGCUUGGAAUUAGGUUUUUGCUUUCAAGGUUCGAAUCCAACUGGUGGAUUGACAAAGUUGCGAGCCGUCAUCAAGAUCAAUAUAAAAAGUGGAGUAGGAGUACUAUUUUUUGAUCCAUUUAAGGAACAGGGAUUUUCAGACCAUCCAAGCAUAUCAUGCCAACUAUUGGUCUCAUGGGACGACUUCUGCUCGACUACUUCUCAAACGGGAAUGGCCUUCUUGUUUGUGCUGGAUGGAUUGGGCCACUUGAUGUAUAAAGGACAUAGGUUGUGGCAUCCAAUGCAUGUGAUACAACAUUCAA